UUGUGUACGCAAUUGUGUUUUGCUCGUGUGAGCACCGGUGCCACUUGCCUUUCAGAAAGGAGUCCUACGAUACACGCCUCUCUGGAAGCAACACUCGCCCCUGUUCCAGAAGAACAAAAUCACAGCGUGACGUCGAAACCUGGCAAGAACCUGGGGUAACUUAACCAUCUGCCUAUGAAAUUGUGGGACUUCAGCACUGUCACUUCCCUGGUAUGAAUCCCCGAGCGGCCUCCAUAGGCAUCUCUACUCCCAGAGCUGAAGGACAGGGAGGGAGUUGUGCUGAUCUGGAACGAGACCGAUUCUUAUUGAUUCUUACUGAAGGACUCUAUUGAACAGGCAAUGUAAAUACACAGGAAGAAGGAAGAGUUACAAACACAAGUCACACACUUGAAGAAAUAAGGAAGACAAUGAGUUUGCUAAGCAGGUUGCAUUCGCCCUAUGUUCUUCGGAAUCUGGGCCAUGUUCCUUUUGUAAGGUCAUUUUGCAGGUCUCUUCUCUUCAGACUCAUUUGGAAUGCUUUCAGAAGAGGAGCAGGGGUUUGCCCAGAGUAGGGAGAGCACCGGAGAGCUGGGUCUGGGUGGACAGUGGGCUGGAGGAGAUCAAGGGGUGUUUGGAAUUGCUUGGGAGCAGGAAAUGCAAUCAGAGCCAUUAAAUAAAAGCCUUUAUGAGGUUGAGGAUGGGGCAGUGUUUAGUUUGGGGCUUCCUUUAUCUCCUCUACCUUUCAGUCCUGGCACUUGCAGGCAGUGAGGCCAGAUGUCUGCAGUCACUGAGAAGCAGGAGAAAGGCAACAUUUCUAUAGAACCCCAAUUUCUAUUCUCUCUCUCCUUCCCAAGUGCCAUUUUAGGAUUUGGUUUUCACCCUGCUCUUGUUCAAGAAAUAGCCCCUUAGGUGGUGAGAUAUAUAUUAAAAAUAAUGUUCCGUCUUCUUUUGAACCCCAGACCACCCUGACCUGGACCUACACUUGACCAUUGGUUCUUCCAAGCUCACUCCAUUAGGUCUCGCUCAGGCCCACACCCGAACAGCUUCAGAACAGUGCCGAUGGACAGCAGCCAACCUGGGAAUUCUGCCCUCUCAGGUACUGCGCUACCCAGCAGAGAAUGCGUGCGGUAGCCUGGACCUAGAGGGAGAAUGAGGUGGGAUUCGACCACGAUUCUGCAAUAGACACUCUCUCACAGCUCAGACGCGAGUGUCUGGGAGCUGGAUUCCAACGUAAGAUUCCAGGUUCCACCGUAGGAGCUCAGCAGGAUGCUAAGUGUGCACUUCCUGUCACCUUCUCUUCCCCUCCACCCCAAAAGGCUGAAGUGAAGUGUUUGGAAAAAGCAAAAGGGCAGGAGAGGGCAAACAAGAAGCCCAGCCGCAGCAGAAACAGUUGGAGAGCAACUUCGCCCGCAACUGUCUCCCAAUCCUGAGAACAAACACAGCUCCACAAUGGCCGCGUUUUCUCGAGAUGCAAAUGUCGCCGGCUCGGCGGAGCUGGGUUUCUGUCACCGCGCCUAAUGCCGGUAUUGUGAAGCUCGCGUGCAGACCUCCGGAUUGACACAGGCAUCACGUGAUGGAUUAGGGCUCUAGGAAAGUUUUCAAAGCGGCGACAAUGGGGGGCUCAGCCUGAUCCGAUAUCUCCCACAGUUUAGCGGGAAAGAAAGUCAGGAUAUAUUCUCAUAUGUAAUAGGAUUAUCUUUUCCAUUUCAAGUUCUGUAUGGCAUGUAAUUUAUUUUUAAUUAGGAUUAUAUCUGCCAGGAAAGGAAACUAGACUUCGCUGGAAAGUGUAAUUCUAAGGACGGCUGGAGAGAGGGGCUAUUUUCUAACAUUUUAUCGCCAACAACAACAAAACCCAGGGCCCAUGAUUUUUCUCCCUACAAGCUCACUCCAUUGAAUAAAUCUCCCAUGGAAUCCUGUAACUGGUGCUCUGCCAUGCAAAAAACAGAUGAGGCUGCCUUUUGCAAAAACCUCUUAGAAUUCCCGAAUCUCGAAGUUUUACUUGGAUUGACACGCAGAAAUGAGUGCAACAGAGCUCUUUUGUACGCUCCAAAUGCUUACUCUAAUUUUUCUCAUUGUCAGUCCUGUCAGAAUGAGUUUUAAGCGUUAUACUAAACCAAAGAACGGCAUAAUGCAAUUAUGUCUCAGCAGACAAAUAAUGGGACUAUUUGGGGGUGAAAGUAACUGCUGUUUAAAUGAUGGUUUUGGAUUUAUUCCAAUGCCAGAUGCCCCCAAACUCUGGGCCACUUCAGGUCUUGGCCACCUUCUGCACACUCUGUGUGGUGGGAAACUCUGGGGGACCCACUUUUCCUGGCAGGAAGUAGCACAUGGUCUUUGUCAUACGCUACUACUGUGCUUGGGUUCCAAUCUCUUCUUUGACAUGUAGAGUCAUUACCUGACCUGAACACAUUAUCUGCCUCUUUGUGUCUUAGUCACUUCAUCUGUGAAAAGAAAAAAGGGCGGAAUAAUGGGACUUGUUAAGACUGUAUUGAGGACUGUGUAAGAUCAUAUACGAUCAGCUGCCUAGGAAUACAGGUUAUUUCACUUCAAGUCACUGGGGGAAAAUAUCAGAGACUAUGUAAUAGUCACUCUUAUAGGUGAGGGAUUUGUUUAGGAAGGAAAAUGAGAAAGGAGAAAGAGGUCAAGGAAAAGGGAAAAAGAAAGUUCUAUUAUGGUCUGCUUCUUUGCUUCCAAUUCUCUGGAAAUAAUAGAUUAUAAUAAUAGAUUAUAGUGGUACAUAAUCUAUAAUCUAUAAAAAGACCUCGUGAGAAUUUGUGUAAAUGUUGCCUGUCUUUCCUCAGGUGAAGUGAUGAGGUGAGAGCUGUGUGGAUAUGUGGCUGGGUUGAGUUCAGAGUAUUUCCUUCUCCAUUCUAACCAUCCCCAGGCUUAGGCCUCCUGAAAGCUUCUAGCUUCCAUACAAGCUAAUCUUCCAAGCUGACUGAUUACAUCUGGCUUCUCUUAGCUUCUGACUGAAUUGCUCUGCCUGGUCUCAUACUAACUUUGUCAAUGUGCCCUAGUCUUCUGCCUCCUUCUUACUCUCUGACUCGCUCUGUCUUCAGCUGUGUUUAGUUUGUUCUCUCUGUAACCUGUUCCUGUAAAAUUUUCCUGGUAAAACUGUCAUAAAAACAUACCACCCACCUCCCAUCACCACCCCCCUUCACUGCUCUUAAGUAGCCUCUCUCCCUCUGCUGUUCCCCUCUGAGUUGGGCACAUCUUAUCUCUGACUCU
rnacentral:sRNA from 1 species